rnacentral:misc_RNA from 1 species
UCCCCGAAGGGCAGUCCGGCCAGACAGCGUGUAACUGGCCGCAGGGGUUGCUCUCGUUGCGGGACUUAACCCAACAUCUCACGACACGAGCUGACGACAGCCAUGCAGCACCUGUGCAGCGCCCUCGAAGGCGGCCGCGUUUCCGCGGCUUGCAGCUGCAUGUCAAACCUGGGUGAGGUUUUGCGCGUUGCGUCGAAUUAAACCACACGCUCCGCUGCUUGUGCGGGCCCCCGUCAAUUCCUUUGAGUUUCAACCUUGCGGUCGUACUCCCCAGGCGGGGUACUUCCUGCGUUAGCGCCGGCACCCAGAGGGUCGCUCCCCCAGGCACCUAGUACCCAUCGUUUACGGCGUGGACUAC